CAAAGAAUAGUUUAAUUUGAGAAUCCUGGCUUUGGGAGCCGGUGGUAGGAGUUAAAGUCUCCUUUUUUUGA
rnacentral:tRNA from 3 species